rnacentral:lncRNA from 1 species
UCGUUCCCGUUCGCUCGUCCAAAAAUCCCCAUCACGAUCUGAAAAUCCCCAUUGCCGUGAGGCUCCACCUAACCCACCUCCAUCCCCUGGCUUCGGCGCGCCUCCCGCCGACGGCCCUCCCAGCCCCAACGCGCCUCACGUCAUCGUCGCCCCGGCACCGGCCCCGGCAUGCCUCCCACCACCGGCGCCCAUCCCCCGACGUGCCUCUCGCCGCCGUCGCCCCGGCCCUGACGCACCUCUCUCCAUCCCCAGAUCGCCUCCCACUCCGCCCUCCAUCCCCAGCACGCCCCCACCAUCGGACCUCGGCUGGCGACCGCAUCCCCUGGCUCGGCUGCACGUGACCGGGAUACCUCGCUGGUGCACGCCACCUCCCUCCUCCUAAGGUGCUCCCUGUCCGAUCCACUCCACUGGUGUCCACGCCCCGACGCCGCCGGCGAGAGCCACCACUCCAUGUGCUCCUCUCUCAUCCAAGUUCAUGCAGCCCUGAUUCUCCUUGUGUUCUAUUGCAGGUUGGGAGCGGUGUGAACUUUGGACGGAUCAGUGGUUGGACCAUCAGCAGUUAACUGCACCAACGCGACUGACGCCACCUCGCACGCCUUCGUCUUCGUCGACGGCGGUCAGCACCUCCAACGCAAAUCGAUUCAGCGCCGUCUGUGCAUGGCUCGGCUCCUGCGCUCUGCUGCUGCCACGGGACCCAGUGCACCUCCCGUCCUCUGCUUUUCUCCGUGCGGAACUGUCUGUCUCGUGUCGCUGCUUGCACCUGCUACUGCUGGGAAUACGCUGUCCCGCGACGCCCUGUACUCAAUCUGUACCCGUGCUCUCUCUGGUCUCACGAACCAUCCCUACGGCCGCAAAGCUUCUCUUAGACCGGCCGCCAUGCAUCAAACUGAACUGCUGAGUUCAUUCCCCCAAAGUCCUGCAGAGCUUAUAGUAAAGAGGCGUACCCCGAUCUCCUCCGUUACUUAACAAUAUGGUGUGCUUUCUGAUGGAACGGACUCGUAGUAAACUAGGCAAAAAAUCUCAUGUUUAUGUGGAGACAAUUAGUGGCCUUAAUCACCCUAUCUGUGUAGCAGCCGCUACCUUCAAAACAUAUUGAUUUAAGCUGGGCCAUGGGUGAGAAGAGAUAAGUUGGGCCCAAAAGAAGUUGAUUUACGGCCAUGUUGACCAAUACGAUUUUAGAUUUAGAAAAUAUACAUGGUGGAAAAUAAAUCAGCAGACUAUAGUUAUGCCAACUAUUCAGACAUAUAGAAUGCGAAGUCAAAGCUCAGAAAAAACAAGAACACAAAAGCAUCAUUAAAUUGUUCUUUUGACGAUUUGUUUGACAAAGUAAGCAGAGGGAAUUCACUUAUAAUUUUCUUUUUGAAAAGUUCAGGAUCGCAUCCUAGAG